rnacentral:rRNA from 1 species
ACGGGUGAGUAAUGUCUGGGAAACUGCCUGAUGGAGGGGGAUAACUACUGGAAACGGUAGCUAAUACCGCAUAAUGUCGCAAGACCAAAGAGGGGACCUUCGGGCCUCUUGCCAUCGGAUGUGCCCAGAUGGGAUUAGCUAGUAGGUGGGGUAACGGCUCACCUAGGCGACGAUCCCUAGCUGGUCUGAGAGGAUGACCAGCCACACUGGAACUGAGACACGGUCCAGACUCCUACGGGAGGCAGCAUG